ACUCACCGUCAGCCGGGCUGCCACCACAACACCAGUAACGUUAACGUUACAACGAAGAUAAAGUUAACAGUGAGAGUAAAACCUACGAGAUACACUGGCAAGUGACCCCUUCUUCCAGGCGUAUCUUAUAGUUGGACUUGCAAGGUGGAAUGAGGACCGGGCUGUGGUAGCAACAACUGACGAGCAGCAGCCGAAUUCGUACAAUCAUCUUCUCCGUCAUGCUGUCAACACUCUUGGAGAGGAGGUUAUGGGCAAGAAAAUCAUCCCUUACAUUGGGCCAAGAAAAUACACUGGCGAGCUUAUCAGAGUUGAAUACCUUUUAACCGGCAAACUUCUACAGAACUACAAGUUGGCCAUUGAGGAGUCCGAGACCACAUAUGUUGGUUUAGAGGUGGAUGAAGGUUGCGCUGAACUUGAGGAGUUUUAGGACAUCGUUGUUCCCACCUUCGACACAGAAUGAACACCUGCUGCCUCCUCUCAAGCAUCGGGGUCUGCGGCGUCUGUGGUCCCUCCAUCACCUGUAACAUCUGCUAUAACCAGCUCCCCAGUAGACCAAUUGUCAGUGGAAAUGGAUCUUCUGAAGAGAACAUCUGAAGAGACAACUUCACAUGUUGAUUCAGUUGGACCCGACAAUAGGACUUGGCAGAGUUUUUGAUUGGCCUCAGAGAUCACCGCCUUGCCUUGACUGGAGAAGAAUGUGUCAAGAUCAUAACCCUGUGGUAGGCAUUGGGGGAGUACUACAAGAAGAAGACCAUUUACCCACCACGUCACCAGACCACCAUUAAACAGGGACGAUUCAGGACCACCAAGAAGAUUUUGGCACCAGGUGUGGAGAGCACCAAAAGGUUUUUCAUUGGGGCUCAUAGUCCUACACAGUGGCCUGACUGCAACAGAGUGGUAGAGGCCGUCUUCACAAGGCUCUGUGUUCUCUAUCCAAACGCAGUGUGCUGUGACGGAGUGAGGGUGUCCCACUUUACAAUGGUAGCACGUACUUACAAGCACAUCCGAGAGUGCAUCCUCACCAAUGCUAAGGUGAUGAGUGAAACCACCAUCCAGCUCCCAGAGGUGAAUGCUGCAACAGUCACACAGUGAUUCAGCAGGCGUUGCAAGUCACAAAAACAAGAUAUUCUGAAGCAGGGUAUCCAAGCACCAGACUCACCCAUGGCAGGACAUGAGAACCUUCCUGCAGCAAUGCAGAAAGGGCCAACACUGCCAAGGAGGUGACGCUCAAGGGGAGAUCGCAACCUCAGGUCAUCUCUCAGGCUCCACCAUUACAUCAAGCACUUCCUGUCAUUGCACCAGCACCACCCGUCUCUUUCCCUUUCAUUCUACCAUCUGUGCAGCUUCCUACAGUGCCUGGACCCUCACAGGUGAUGUUCUUCAACCUCCCAUUACCUUCACCCACGCCACCAUCAAGUCAGACACAGACAUCCAGUCAAUCUAUUCCUUAUAGCACUCAACAAUACAGAAAGAGGAGAGGGAGCACACUGGAACUGUCAAAAGGAAAUAUGUAAAAAUGACAGAUGUCAUUCUUUGCAGAAAGUGCAACAAAGAGAGAAAGCCACCAUCACAUCUUCAGUACUUUGGGAACUGGUAUUGUGAAGAGUCUGAGAGCCAGUCAUGUGGUGAAUGGAGGGCUGUUCUGGAGGAACGAGGCUAUAGGGGGGGGGAAAGCCAGGAAAUGACAACCCACCAUCUUCUUAAACUUGUUGUUUGUAUCUUUAAGUAUUUUCUUUCAUUUAUUUGUUUAAUGGCACCACAGAGUAAGUAUUAGCUAUCACAUGUAAUUCCAACCAAAUACCGUGACUCUCCAGAGAAAACUUCUUAUUCAAAAGCUGACUUGUAGGUUAGAACAAAAGCAUCCACUGCAGUUUUUGUCAUUAACUGCUUCCUUAAGUGGUAAAAUCUGUAAAUUUCAGAAGUUGGUUCUUCUGCGUUCUUCUUCAUCAUUGUUUUAAAAAUUUACGUUAUAGAGUUUCCAGGAAUGAUAUGUGUCUCUGAAAUGAAGAAUAAUGUUUUUGGAAGUAUGCUGGUGUGUGUGAUGCAUCUUGUUUUUUCUGAGAAUGUUUUUUUUCGUCUUCACUGCUUGUAUCCUCUGCUCUCUGUUCGGGAAAAUGUUUCAGGUAUAUGUUGUAAUGUAAUUCAGCAGGGUCAACAGAUUUUUGUAUUCAUGAUGGGUGUGAAAUGGUGUAAAUCCGUACCUUAUUUAUGUGAGAGUACUCUUAAGAUGAAAGUUCGAUAGUACUCAUGUUCCCUGUUUUGGGCAAAUGUCAGCUCAGGGAUUGAUGUUCUCACUUCAGGUGCCGGCAUAUCUCACAUCUAUAUAUUUGUGGAGGUCUGUAUUAUUGUUUUGUUCAUU